UACGUAGGGUGCAAGCGUUAAUCGGAAUUACUGGGCGUAAAGCGUGCGCAGGCGGUUGGGCAAGACAGGUGUGAAAUCCCCGGGCUUAACCUGGGAACUGCACUUGUGACUGCAUAGCUGGAGUACGGCAGAGGGGGAUGGAAUUCCGCGUGUAGCAGUGAAAUGCGUAGAUAUGCGGAGGAACACCGAUGGCGAAGGCAGUCCCCUGGGCCUGUACUGACGCUCAUGCACGAAAGCGUGGGGAGCAAACAGG
rnacentral:rRNA from 1 species